rnacentral:rRNA from 1 species
AUUGAACGCUGGCGGCAGGCCUAACACAUGCAAGUCGAGCGGUAGAGAGGUGCUUGCAUCUCUUGAGAGCGGCGGACGGGUGAGUAAUGCCUAGGAAUCUGCCUAGUGGUGGGGGAUAACGUUCGGAAACGGACGCUAAUACCGCAUACGUCCUACGGGAGAAAGCGGGGGGAUCUUCGGACCUCGCGCCAUUAGAUGAGCCUAGGUCGGAUUAGCUAGUUGGUGAGGUAAUGGCUCACCAAGGCGACGAUCCGUAACUGGUCUGAGAGGAUGAUCAGUCACACUGGAACUGAGACACGGUCCAGACUCCUACGGGAGGCAGCAGUGGGGAAUAUUGGACAAUGGGCGAAAGCCUGAUCCAGCCAUGCCGCGUGUGUGAAGAAGGUCUUCGGAUUGUAAAGCACUUUAAGUUGGGUAGGAAGGGUAGUAACCUAAUACGUUGCUACUUUGACGUUACCGACA